ACACUGAUAGCUAGGUCGUUUAAGGGGUCAAAGUUGGCACGUUUUAUUUUUUUUGCGGGCCCACUCGUCAGUUGCAUCUUCUUCCUCUCUCCAGCACCUGGGCGCCUCUGGUUGGUCUGCACAGGCGCCGAGGAUCGCCAUUGGCCAAUUCCGGCCGCACCAGCAAGGCCCCCAUCGCCCGGUUGGUUUCCCAAGCAUCUCCCACUUCCUCCCCCUCCCUCCCACGCCUCCCCUCGCCUGCGGUUGGGCAGGCGCCCAUGCGCCCGCCAUGGCCGCCACAUGGCCGGCGGCCAUCGGCAACUCCCUCGUCACCAAUGGUCGUCCCGCAUUGCCGUGGCAUCCUUAUCGCCUCGUCGUUCUUAUCCUCACCUCACCCCAGCUAUAUAAACAACACCAGCCCCUCCAGAACCACUCGCCCCUUCCUCCCAACCUCCAUUGCCUGUACUAUCACCUCUAAAUCCCCAAUUUUCAUCGUCGAAAUCCACUGCGUGAGCGAGCCUCAGCUCGAUUCCUCACGCCAGUAGCAUCCCCAUGUCGUCCCGCAUCCAUUUUGCCCCUUCCCGGACUCUCCCUUGUCGGACGGCGCCCUCCACGGCAAGCACCCCCGCCGCCCGAUCUGCUGCUCACGGGCCUCCCUGCGCGCCACCUAUCCCUCGUCGCCGGCCCCUGCUAGUGAGCCUCUGGUCCCAAGGUGCCGCCCCUCUCCCUCCCCAAGCCGCCUCUUCUCUUUCCCCCACCUUCGACCCCAAGUCCAUAGCCAUGUCGCGCCUCUGUGAACCGUGCGUGCUUGUGUUGUGUUUUGUUUGUGCAUGGGGGAUCUCAUUGGAGAAGAAGAAGGAAGUGUAGGGGGUUAUGGGUGAAAUUCACGGACCUUGGCGCAAUUAACUCGUAGACCUGGGGGCUAGAUUGGAAGAUGGCCUCGGAUUUCUUUAAUUUCCUAGAUCUAAAAAGGCUGAAAUUUUGGAAAUUCAUAGUAAAUUGUAGAAAAAUUGUCAAAUAGCAUAUGAAGAUGUUUUGGAAUCCUUGUAAGUAGAAUUAUGCAGUAAAGUUAUAAUAUGAUAUGUGUUAGUAGAAAGUUUCUGAUGUUUUUAUUUAUUCUUUCAAAGUGCUUUUAGAAAUCCUUUUAAGUUGGUUAGAUGCAUAUUUUGAGUUAUAGAAGUCUAAAGAUUAUGAUUCCAGUUGUGUUAGUCUUGUGAUGACACUCUCUAGCUAAUAAAAAUAUUGAACAUGCUAGUUGUGUACUGUUUUUAUCAUGUUAUGAUUUAAUAGACAAUUUUAGCUUGUUUUGCUUGUCAUUUUCAUAUCUAAAGUUGUGUCCUCCAAUUUCUGUGCAAUUUCUAAGGUAGGGUAUAAAUGAUGCUCUUGUACUGCGAUAAAAAUUUCAUAUUUACUGGUGGAUGUAUGACUUAGUUAUUGAUUUAACUUGUUUCAUGCUUGUUAUGUGAUUUAUAAAUAUUAGGAGUGUCUAAAAAUAGAAAUUAUAGUUCCACUACCUUUUUAUGAGGUUGUUCUACCAUAAAUACCAUAAUAACAUGUUAUAUGGCUAUGUGUUUAUAGAAAAUGAUGAUCUUUAGAAGUAUCUUGCUUUUACAUGUUUUCU
rnacentral:lncRNA from 1 species